rnacentral:rRNA from 2 species
ACAGUGGACGCGAGCAUCUGUGGCCAAGUUUUUAAGGGCGCACGGUGGAUGCCUUGGCACCAGGAACCGAUGAAGGACGUGGGAGGCCACGAUAGUCCCCGGGGAGUCGUCAACCAGGCUUUGAUCCGGGGGUUUCCGAAUGGGGAAACCCGGCAGUCGUCAUGGGCUGUCACCCUUGCCUGAACACAUAGGGCAAGUGGAGGGAACGCGGGGAAGUGAAACAUCUCAGUACCCGCAGGAAGAGAAAACAACCGUGAUUCCGGGAGUAGUGGCGAGCGAAACCGGAUGAGGCCAAACCGUAUGCGUGUGAGACCCGGCAGGGGUUGCGCAUACGGGGUUGUGGGAUCUCUCUUCUACGGUCUGCCGGCCGUGGGACGAGUCAGAAACCGUUGAUGUAGGCGAAGGACAUGCGAAAGGUCCGGCGUAGAGGGUAAGACCCCCGUAGUCGAAACAUCAGCGGCUCGUUUGAGAGACACCCAAGUAGCACGGGGCCCGAGAAAUCCCGUGUGAAUCUGGCGGGACCACCCGCUAAGCCUAAAUAUUCCCUGGUGACCGAUAGCGGAUAGUACCGUGAGGGAAUGGUGAAAAGUACCGCGGGAGCGGAGUGAAAUAGUACCUGAAACCGUGUGCCUACAAGCCGUGGGAGCGUCGGGUAGGAACUUGUUCCUACCUCGUGACUGCGUGCCUUUUGAAGAAUGAGCCUGCGAGUUUGCGGUGUGUUGCGAGGUUAACCCGGGUGGGGAAGCCGUAGCGAAAGCGAGUCCGAAUAGGGCGUUUCAGUAGCACGCUCAAGACCCGAAGCGGAGUGAUCUAGCCAUGGGCAGGUUGAAGCGGAGGUAAGACUUCGUGGAGGACCGAACCCACCAGGGUUGAAAACCUGGGGGAUGACCUGUGGUUAGGGGUGAAAGGCCAAUCAAACUCCGUGAUAGCUGGUUCUCCCCGAAAUGCAUUUAGGUGCAGCGUCGUGUGUUUCUUGCCGGAGGUAGAGCACUGGAUAGGCGAUGGGCCCUACCGGGUUACUGACCUUAGCCAAACUCCGAAUGCCGGUAAGUGAGAGCGCGGCAGUGAGACUGUGGGGGAUAAGCUCCAUGGUCGAGAGGGAAACAGCCCAGAGCAUCGACUAAGGCCCCUAAGCGUACGCUAAGUGGGAAAGGAUGUGGAGUCGCACAGACAACCAGGAGGUUGGCUUAGAAGCAGCCACCCUUGAAAGAGUGCGUAAUAGCUCACUGGUCUAGUGAUUCCGCGCCGACAAUGUAGCGGGGCUCAAGCGUACCGCCGAAGUCGUGUCAUUGCGAUAUGUACCCCCAACGGGGAUCGUGAUGGGUAGGGGAGCGUCGUGUGCCGGGUGAAGCAGCGCCGGAAGGCAGUUGUGGACGGUUCACGAGUGAGAAUGCAGGCAUGAGUAGCGAUUCACACGUGAGAAACGUGUGCGCCGAUUGACUAAGGGUUCCUGGGUCAAGCUGAUCUGCCCAGGGUAAGUCGGGACCUAAGGCGAGGCCGACAGGCGUAGUCGAUGGAUAACCGGUUGAUAUUCCGGUACCCGCUGUGAAGCGUCAAACAUCGAAUCCAGUGAUGCUAAGCCCGUGAAGCCGCCGGCUGAGUCUUCGGACGAGGUCGGAGUGGUGGAGCCGGUGACCCGAGCUGGUAGUAGGUGAGUGAUGGGGUGACGCAGGAAGGUAGUCCAUCCCGGGCGGUGGUUGUCCCGGGGUAAGGGUGUAGGACGUCAGGUAGGUAAAUCCGCCUGGCACAUAGUCUGAGACCUGAUGCCGAGCCGAUUGUGGUGAAGUGGAUGAUCCUAUGCUGUCGAGAAAAGCCUCUAGCGAGUUUCAUGGCGGCCCGUACCCUAAACCGACUCAGGUGGUCAGGUAGAGAAUACCGAGGCGUUCGGGUGAACUAUGGUUAAGGAACUCGGCAAAAUGCCCCCGUAACUUCGGGAGAAGGGGGGCCACGUCUGGUGAGAGCACUUGCUGCUCGAGCUGGGGGUGGCCGCAGAGACCAGCGAGAAGCGACUGUUUACUAAAAACACAGGUCCGUGCGAAGCCGUAAGGCGAUGUAUACGGACUGACGCCUGCCCGGUGCUGGAACGUUAAGGGGACCGGUUAGCUCACUUUCGGGUGGGCGAAGCUGAGAACUUAAGCGCCAGUAAACGGCGGUGGUAACUAUAACCAUCCUAAGGUAGCGAAAUUCCUUGUCGGGUAAGUUCCGACCUGCACGAAUGGCGUAACGACUUCUCGACUGUCUCAACCAUAGGCCCGGUGAAAUUGCACUACGAGUAAAGAUGCUCGUUUCGCGCAGCAGGACGGAAAGACCCCGGGACCUUUACUACAGUUUGAUAUUGGUGUUCGGUUCGGCUUGUGUAGGAUAGCUGGGAGACUUUGAACUCUGGACGCCAGUUCAGGGGGAGUCGUCGUUGAAAUACCAGUCUGGUCGUGCUGGAUGUCUAACCUGGGUCCGUGAUCCGGAUCAGGGACAGUGUCUGAUGGGUAGUUUAACUGGGGCGGUUGCCUCCUAAAGAGUAACGGAGGCGCCCAAAGGUUCCCUCAGCCUGGUUGGCAAUCAGGUGUUGAGUGUAAGUGCACAAGGGAGCUUGACUGUGAGACCGACGGGUCGAGCAGGGACGAAAGUCGGGACUAGUGAUCCGGCGGUGGCUUGUGGAAGCGCCGUCGCUCAACGGAUAAAAGGUACCCCGGGGAUAACAGGCUGAUCUUCCCCAAGAGUCCAUAUCGACGGGAUGGUUUGGCACCUCGAUGUCGGCUCGUCGCAUCCUGGGGCUGGAGUCGGUCCCAAGGGUUGGGCUGUUCGCCCAUUAAAGCGGUACGCGAGCUGGGUUUAGAACGUCGUGAGACAGUUCGGUCCCUAUCCGCUGUGCGCGUAGGAGUCUUGAGAAGGGCUGUCCCUAGUACGAGAGGACCGGGACGGACGAACCUCUGGUGUGCCAGUUGUUCUGCCAAGGGCAUGGCUGGUUGGCUACGUUCGGGAGGGAUAACCGCUGAAAGCAUCUAAGCGGGAAGCCUGCUUCGAGAUGAGGACUCCCACCUCCUAGAGAGGGUAAGGCUCCCAGUAGACGACUGGGUUGAUAGGCCGGAUAUGGAAGCACGGUAACGUGUGGAGUUGACCGGUACUAAUAGGCCGAGGGCUUGUCCUCAGUUG